rnacentral:lncRNA from 1 species
AAUCUAAAUUUUUUGAUUCUAGCCUUCAAAGCUAAAAUGACAUUAAAAGAAUAAUCCUAAUUUCUAAUAAGGCCUCAGGCAGCCUCCUUGAAGCCCAUUGAGCAUGAUUUUUGGCCAAUAGGAAUAGAAAUUUUUAUCAUCCAUCUCCAUUCAUCUCUAUAGAUGCCUUUAAUUUUCUUUUUUGCUACCAAGAUCUUUCUCUAAUCUUUUUUUUAUAAGAUUUAUAUAAUAUAUGUCCUAAAUACCAAAUAAAAGAACCAAAAUGAAACUUCAAGAAUUACUAAUGUUUAACAAGGGUGACUCUAAAUAUUUAAAAGUUACUACUAAUAAGAUCAACUUCAAAAGUUACUAUAAAAAGAAAAUAAAAUUAUAUAAAUUCUAAUAAAAGCCUUUUUAAACAACCUCUUUUUGGAGUAGUAAUCUAUCCAUAUUCUAUAACCAACAAAAAUCUACUAACA